UGGGGAUUUGCCAAUGGGCGAAACCUGAUGCAGCCUGCCGCGUGUGUGAAGAAGGCCUUCGGGUUGUAAAGCACUUUCAGUCAGGAGGAAAGGGUGUGAGUUAAUACCUCACAUCUGUGACGUUACUGACAGAAGAAGCACCGGCUAACUCCGUGCCAGCAGCCGCGGUAAUACGGAGGGUGCGAGCCGUUAAUCGGAAUUACUGGGCGUAAAGCGUACGCAGGCGGUUUGUUAAGCGAGGAUGUGAAAGCCCCGGGCUCAACCUGGGGAACUGCAUUUCGAACUGGCAAACUAGAGUGUGAUAGAGGGUGGUACGAAUUAGGUGUAGCGGUGAAAUGCGUAGAGAUCUGAAGGAAUACCGAUGGCGAAGGCAGCCACCUGGGGUCAACACUGACGCUCAUGUACGAAAGCGUGGGGAGCAAACGGGAUUAGAUACCCCGGUAGUCCACGCCCGUAAACGAUGUCUACUAGAAGCUCGGACUCGGUUNUGUUUUUCAAAGCUAACGCAUUAAGUAGACCGCCUGGGGAGUACGGCCGCAAGGUUAAAACUCAAAUGAAUUGACGGGGGCCCGCACAAGCGGUGGAGCAUGUGGUUUAAUUCGAUGCAACGCGAAGAACCUUACCUACACUUGACAUACAGAGAACUUUCUAGAGAUAGAUUGGUGCCUCGGGAACUCUGAUACAGGGUGC
rnacentral:rRNA from 1 species